rnacentral:rRNA from 1 species
UACGGCGGGUGCGAGCGUUAAUCGGAAUUACUGGGCGUAGAGCGCACGUAGGCGGUCGGAUAAGUCGGAUGUGAAAGCCCCGGGCUUAACCUGGGAACUGCAUUCGAUACUGUCUGGCUAGAGUAUGAGAGAGGGAAGCAGAAUUUCCGGUGAAGCGGUGAAAUGCGUAGAUAUCUGAAGGAAUACCAAUGGCGAAGGCAGCUUCCUGGCCCAAUACUGACGCUCAGGUGCGAAAGCGUGGGGAUCAAACAGG